GCCGAUGUAGCUCAGCUGGCAGAGCGGCUCAUUCGUAAUGAGUAGGUCGGGGGUUCAAAUCCCUUCAUCGGCUCCA
rnacentral:tRNA from 1 species